rnacentral:snRNA from 1 species
GUGCUCGCUUUGGCAGCACAUAUACUAGAAUUGAAAUGAUUCAGAGAUUAGCAUAGCACCCGCACAAGGAUGAUACACAAAUUUGUGAUGUUCCAUAUUUUUUU